rnacentral:rRNA from 1 species
GAUGAACGCUGGCGGCGUGCCUAAUACAUGCAAGUCGAGCGAACAGACGAGGAGCUUGCUCCUCUGACGUUAGCGGCGGACGGGUGAGUAACACGUGGAUAACCUACCUAUAAGACUGGGAUAACUUCGGGAAACCGGAGCUAAUACCGGAUAAUAUAUUGAACCGCAUGGUUCAAUAGUGAAUGACGGUUUUGCUGUCACUUAUAGACGGAUCCGCGCCGCAUUAGCUAGUUGGUAAGGUAACGGCUUACCAAGGCAACGAUGCGUAGCCGACCUGAGAGGGUGAUCGGCCACACUGGAACUGAGACACGGUCCAGACUCCUACGGGAGGCAGCAGUAGGGAAUAUUCCGCAAUGGGCGAAAGCCUGACGGAGCAACGCCGCGUGAGUGAUGAAGGUCUUCGGAUCGUAAAGCUCUGUUAUUAGGGAAGAACAAAUGUGUAAGUAACUAUGCACGUCUUGACGGUACCUAAUCAGAAAGCCACGGCUAACUACGUG